GGGAGGAAUAAAUGGCAGUCGAGGGGCAUCGGGAGGGAAGCUUGCUUUCCUUGCCGGCGACCGGCGCACGGGUGAGUAACACGUAUGCAACCUGCCCUCUUCAGGGGGACAACCUUCCGAAAGGGAGGCUAAUCCCGCGUAUAUCGGUUUCGGGCAUCCGAGAUCGAGGAAAGAUUCAUCGGAAGAGGAUGGGCAUGCGGCGCAUUAGCUUGACGGCGGGGUAACGGCCCACCGUGGCGACGAUGCGUAGGGGUUCUGAGAGGAAGGUCCCCCACACUGGUACUGAGACACGGACCAGACUCCUACGGGAGGCAGCAGUGAGGAAUAUUGGUCAAUGGGAGAGAUCCUGAACCAGCCAAGCCGCGUGAGGGAAGACGGCCCUAUGGGUUGUAAACCUCUUUUGUCGGAGAACAAAACCCGGGACGUGUCCCGGACUGCGUGUAUCCGAAGAAAAAGCAUCGGCUAACUCCGUGCCAGCAGCCGCGGUAAUACGGAGGAUGCGAGCGUUAUCCGGAUUUAUUGGGUUUAAAGGGUGCGUAGGCGGUCCGUUAAGUCAGCGGUAAAAUUGCGGGGCUCAACCCCGUCGAGCCGUUGAAACUGGCAGACUUGAGUUGGCGAGAAGUACGCGGAAUGCGCGGUGUAGCGGUGAAAUGCAUAGAUAUCGCGCAGAACUCCGAUUGCGAAGGCAGCGUACCGGCGCCAGACUGACGCUGAGGCACGAAAGCGUGGGGAUCGAACAGGAUUAGAUAC
rnacentral:rRNA from 1 species